AAAGUAUAAAUAAAAAGGAAUAAUUUAAUAACGGACGUGUUCAACCGUUAAUAUUUUAAUACAUAAUUGAUAACACACAAUUCAACAAAAUAAUUGUACACCAAACCCAGCCAAUAUGCUAUGUUAACAAUUAGGUAUAUAAUUUAGAAAUUUAUUAUUGCAGCUUUAUAAGGCUUGUAUAUUGUAGACGCAUUGCAAUUUUAACAUGAAUUGAAUGUUACUUAUGAAUAAAAAUAUUGCUCAAUCGACAAACCUCAAGAACAUCAUUAUCACAAGUCAGAAACAACGUUAUCCAAAUAUUGAAAAUUUUCCUUCCUAAACCACUUAUUUUAUUAUAAGGCAAAAUUGAGUAAUUAACAAGUGGACAAAUCGGUAUAUAUCUAAAUAUUAGAAAUGUUAUAUUAAAGAUUGAAAAUUUAUCGAUUGAAGUACAUGGACAAAAGUUGUGAAACAUUUUUAUUGCUUUUAACAUGAGAAUUUGAAAAAGUGGUACGGAAACAUUCAAGCAAGCAUUGUUGUCCGUUUUAAGGCAUUCUCAUAACUUUUAAUAUAAACUAGCUAAAUAUGCCUACUAAAAUAUCCUUAUAAACCUGUAUCUAAAAAAAUCCCUUACACUUUACAUGUUACCAUACUCCCACUUUGUGGUUACAAUGCAAAUAUCAAAUGCACAAUACACAUACAUAAACCGGAUCUAGCAAUCUAAUUGUAUUUAAACACAACAAACAAUUGCUUUACUACCUAAAUAUACCAUUUACAUUGGUUAGCUAAUUUCGAGCCAAAAUAGGGAUUUUUUUUUAUUAUUUAUUAACUAUUAAAUGUUUUAAAAUAGCUAUUUUCGUUUACAUCAUAAAAGCUUUGAUAGAGUAAAAGUUGAUGAGAGUUAUUUAAUACAUAAAUUUAGAACAUAAAAAAUCAUAAAAUUCCAUAAUUCACAUGCAGUUGUGAUGUCAUUUUAAUUUGUAAAGUAAAAUUUAAUUUGUAAUAGGUUAUAAUACAAUAAAAAUAUGUUAAUAUUGCUUUUUUUAAAAAAUUGUAAAUUAUUAAGAUAAUUGCACAGAAAUGUGAUGACAAAUUAUAAUUGCGGGGACAAUGACAUAUAACAUAGUUAGAGAUACAACACUAGUGAUGACCUUCCCUAAUGAGAUUACCUGAUAAAACCUACAUUAGGUGAAAUAGCAAUUUUUUUUUAAACAUGUUGUAACUGGGUUGCCUAAUCCUAGCCUGGUUAGCCUAUGAUUAGGCAAUGCAGUAAAAAGAUAGGCAACCCCACCUUAGAGUCAUGUUUACAUUACGUACUAUCGAUUGGUGACAAAAUUUUCAGGAUACUCGAUGAGGAGUUUUUGCUGAAAAAAUUGCCGACUUCAGAGAUCAAUUAAACAUAGCCUUGCCAGGCUAGGAUUAGGCAACCCGGUUACAUGUUUAAAAAAAUGUGCUCUUUCACGUAAUGUAGGUUUCGUCAGGAAAACAAAUGAGGGAAGGAAAAACGCUUUGUAGCCUAACACAUUAGUUCGUUUUAUGCAAUAAAAGAUAAUUUAUUUCAUUAAGAAUUGAUUAAAAAGAUAUCUGGUAAAACGAAUUAGGUACAGUACAAUAGACUAUGUCAAAAGUCAAAACUAUUAACUAUUGAGAUUAUUGGUGACCGACGUGACGAAGACAGUUUUCAUCUUAAUGAAGACUGAAAAUUCAUUCAUAAAAGAUCCGAAGACAAGAUUUAAGAGAAGACUUUAUUAUAUUAAUAUAUAAGUGCAAAAGAACAAUAUGCAACGAUUAUUUUUAACUAAAAUUAACACUAUAUUAAAGUGUCUAUUAUGUAAAAAAAUACAAAUAUUUAAUUUCCUUUCAAUGGCAGUUUAGGUAUGGGUGUAUACAAAUAGUUAUUUCAUUGUCUGUACUAAAUUCGCUCAUAGCAUUUGUUAAAUAAUCUCUGUUCUCGUAAUGCUCUAAUACUACAAAUCACAGAUCUCUGUGUACCUUCUCCUAAAAAUGUCUUUAAAUUUUGUUACUUGAGUCGAUUACUCAAUAACAUGAUUAUAUUUUUAAACAUUUGCACAUAAACUUCUAACAAUUCUAUAAUUGUGUAUAGAACAGUAGAAAUAAUGUAAAUACGAUAUUGUCUUGAAACAUC